UACGUAGGGUCCGAGCGUUGUCCGGAAUUAUUGGGCGUAAAGGGCUCGUAGGCGGUUUGUCGCGUCGGGAGUGAAAACACGGGGCUUAACCCCGUGCCUGCUUCCGAUACGGGCAGACUAGAGGUAUGCAGGGGAGAACGGAAUUCCUGGUGUAGCGGUGAAAUGCGCAGAUAUCAGGAGGAACACCGGUGGCGAAGGCGGGUCUCUGGGCCGUAACUGACGCUGAGGAGCGAAAGCAUGGGGAGCGAACAGG
rnacentral:rRNA from 1 species